AAGACGACUUCCCAAUUUGUAAACACUGCUGGGUCUUUUUUUUUUUCCGGUGGGGCUUAAAUGUUAAAUUAGCUACUGUAUGUUACAGCUCUCAGUUUAAUAGAAAUAUACUUUUGGUGGUUUACAAAUAUAAUUUCACAGUUCAUUUGUCUUUUUCCUUUCACUCCAACAUCUGAGAACUGAACUACUCCAUAUUUUAACAGUCUGGAACAGACAUGGCAAACUAUGGCCCAGGGGCCGGAUAUGGACUCUUAGGCUUUUUAAUCUGGCCUACCCAACCUGUCCAAAUUAUAUAAUUAAAUUAUAUAAUCCAUAGACAUUAGUCUGCCCUUUCCUUGCAAUACCUGCAUUUCCCCAAUAGAUGGCACACUCCAGAAGUGAGGUGUGUUACUCUCUACUUCAGUGUUCGGCUUUACCGUUUGUGUGAACAAUUUCUGUUGUUGUUGUUUGCGUUUAAAAUAAUUUAGGCCUCUUAAAUCUAGGUCCAUCUGAAUUACCUCACAACAUAUUUUAAUUGCAAUUUAAGAAAGGCAAGAUUUUUUUCCCCCUAAAACACGACAUGGCAGCAAACAUGACAUGUUAAGGAUGCUAGAUGAUAAAAUGUGAAGGAAGACAGAAAUUUAGACAGAAUACCAAAAAUCAACAAAUAAAAAUCUAUAUACCUGUAAACAAACAUGUUAGCCGACGUAUAGUGACAACUUUUCAUAAAAUUGCACCCGUGUCCCCAAAAUAUUUUAUAUGGAAAUAAAAGCCACAGUAAAACAUUUACAUUCGAUUUACGUCAAUCACGUGACAACCCAACCUGAGAUGUGAGACCUCCGGUGGCAGGCAGGUGAACUGCCAUUGCACCGCUGUAGCCCCCUGCAAUAGUUCUAAGUAUAACUACUACUGCAAAUGAAAUCAAACUUUUCAAUAGCAUUGAAAAAAAAA